AUUGAACGCUGGCGGCAGGCCUAACACAUGCAAGUUGAGCGGAGCGGCGGACGGGUGAGUAAUGCCUGGGAAUCUGCCUGGUAGUGGGGGAUAACGUGCGGAAACGGGCGCUAAUACCGCAUACUAUAAGAGGAGCCUAGGUCGGAUUAGCUAGUUGGUGGGGUAAAGGCCUACCAAGGCGACGAUCCGUAACUGGUAUGAGGGGAUGAUCAGUCACACUGGAACUGAGCCACGGUCCAGACUCCUACGGUAGUCAGCAGUGGGUAAUAUUGGACAAUGGCCGAAAGCCUGAUCCAGCCAUCCCGCGUGUGUGAAGAAGGUCUUCGGAUUGUAAAGCACUUUAAGUUGUAAGGCGUUUCCAACAGAAUAAGUACCGGCUAACUUCGUGCCGGCAACCGCGGUAAUAC
rnacentral:rRNA from 1 species